GAUGAACGCUGGCGGCGUGCCUAACACAUGCCAGUCGAGCGGCAGCGAGGGGUGCUUGCCCCCUGCCGGCGAGCGGCGGACGGCUGAGUAACGCGUGGGAACGUGCCCCAAAGUGAGGAAUAACUGCCCGAAAGGGUAGCUAAUACCGCAUAUUAUCUUCGGAUCAAAGGAUUUAUCCGCUUUGGGAGCGGCUCGCGUCGGAUUAGGUAGUUGGUGAGGUAAUGGCUCACCAAGCCGACGAUCCGUAGCUGGUCUGAGAGGAUGACCAGCCAGACUGGAACUGAGACACGGUCCAGACUCCUACGGGAGGCAGCAGUGAGGAAUCUUCCACAAUGGGCGAAAGCCUGAUGGAGCAACGCCGCGUGCAGGACGAAGGCCUUCGGGUUGUAAACUGCUUUUAUAAGUGAGGAAUAUGACGGUAACUUAUGAAUAAGGAGCGGCUAACUACGUG
rnacentral:rRNA from 1 species